rnacentral:rRNA from 1 species
CAAAUCAGAUAAGACUACCCGCUGAACUUAAGCAUAUCAAUAAGCGNNGAAAAGAAACUAACAAGGAUUCCCCUAGUAACGGCGAGUGAAGCGGGAUCAGCUCAAAUUUGAAAUCUCACUGUUCCGCAGUGCGAAUUGUAGUUUAAAGAAGUUUUUUCGGAAGUACACCAAGUCUAAGUCCUUUGGAACGAGGUAUCAUAGAGGGUGAGAACCCCGUCUUUGAUUUGGCUUGUAUUUCUAUGUGAUAAACUUUCAACGAGUCGGGUUGUUUGGGAAUGCAGCCCAAAGUGGGUGGUAUAUAUCAUCUAAAGCUAAAUAUUGGCGAGAGACCGAUAGCGAACAAGUACCGUGAGGGAAAGAUGAAAAGAACUUUGAAAAGAGAGUUAAAUAGUACGUGAAAUUGUCAAAAGGGAAACGUUUGAAACCAGUUUUGUCAGCAAGAUCCCAACCCUUCUAACGAUGGGCCCAUGUUCUUGUUGGCAGGUCAACAUCGGUUUAGUUUGAGGUAUAAAGCUUGAAGAAGGUAGCGUACUUGUACGUGUUAUAGCUUCGAGUAAUGCCUUGGACUAGACCGAGGUUUGCAGCUCAGUCUUGCGGACCUGUACAUACGUUGAUGCCAUUUGGUAAACUGCUUGCAGAUUACUAGAAGGAUAAAGCGUUCUGUGCAGCGAACGACACCUGUGCUUAGGAUGUUGACAUAAUGGUUUUAAGCGACC